CAGAUUGGAGCUCGAUAUUGAGCAUCUUGUUUACAUUAAGAAGUUGAUUGUGAGAUUCAGUUUAAUCUGA
rnacentral:tRNA from 1 species